rnacentral:rRNA from 1 species
ACGGAAAGGCCCUUCGGGGUACUCGAGUGGCGAACGGGUGAGUAACACGUGGGUGAUCUGCCCUGCACUUUGGGAUAAGCCUGGGAAACUGGGUCUAAUACCGAAUAGGACCGCAUGCUUCAUGGUGUGUGGUGGAAAGCUUUUGCGGUGUGGGAUGGGCCCGCGGCCUAUCAGCUUGUUGGUGAGGUAAUGGCUUACCAAGGCGACGACGGGUAGCCGGCCUGAGAGGGUGACCGGCCACACUGGGACUGAGAUACGGCCCAGACUCCUACGGGAGGCAGCAGUGGGGAAUAUUGCACAAUGGGCGCAAGCCUGAUGCAGCGACGCCGCGUGAGGGAUGACGGCCUUCGGGUUGUAAACCUCUUUCGCCAGGGACGAAGCGCAAGUGACGGUACCUGGAGAAGAAGGACCGGCCAACUACGUGCCAGCAGCCGCGGUAAUACGUAGGGUCCGAGCGUUGUCCGGAAUUACUGGGCGUAAAGAGCUCGUAGGUGGUUUGUCGCGUUGUUCGUGAAAACUCACAGCUUAACUGUGGGCGUGCGGGCGAUACGGGCAGACUUGAGUACUGCAGGGGAGACUGGAAUUCCUGGUGUAGCGGUGGAAUGCGCAGAUAUCAGGAGGAACACCGGUGGCGAAGGCGGGUCUCUGGGCAGUAACUGACGCUGAGGAGCGAAAGCGUGGGGAGCGAACAGGAUUAGAUACCCUGGUAGUCCACGCCGUAAACGGUGGGUACUAGGUGUGGGUUUCCUUCCUUGGGAUCCGUGCCGUAGCUAACGCAUUAAGUACCCCGCCUGGGGAGUACGGCCGCAAGGCUAAAACUCAAAGAAAUUGACGGGGGCCCGCACAAGCGGCGGAGCAUGUGGAUUAAUUCGAUGCAACGCGAAGAACCUUACCUGGGUUUGACAUGCACAGGACGCCGGCAGAGAUGUCGGUUCCCUUGUGGCCUGUGUGCAGGUGGUGCAUGGCUGUCGUCAGCUCGUGUCGUGAGAUGUUGGGUUAAGUCCCGCAACGAGCGCAACCCUUGUCUCAUGUUGCCAGCACGUUAUGGUGGGGACUCGUGAGAGACUGCCGGGGUCAACUCGGAGGAAGGUGGGGAUGACGUCAAGUCAUCAUGCCCCUUAUGUCCAGGGCUUCACACAUGCUACAAUGGCCGGUACAAAGGGCUGCGAUGCCGUGAGGUGGAGCGAAUCCUUUCAAAGCCGGUCUCAGUUCGGAUCGGGGUCUGCAACUCGACCCCGUGAAGUCGGAGUCGCUAGUAAUCGCAGAUCAGCAACGCUGCGGUGAAUACGUUCCCGGGCCUUGUACACACCGCCCGUCACGUCAUGAAAGUCGGUAACACCCGAAGCCGGUGGCCUAACCCCUUGUGGGAGGAGCCGUCGAAG